AUGUCCUCCUCCAGCUCGAGUUCCUUCUCUGGCCUAAACAACAACACCGCCGAACCCUUGAGCUGCACCAACUACAUCCUAUGGCGUGCCCAGGCUCGCUCUCAGAUCAUGGGGACUGGCCUGUAUGGGUACCUAGAUGAAACAAACCCCGAGCCCUCCAAAACAAUUACAGCAAAAAACUCUGAAGGUAAGGAACAGCUUGUUCCGAAUCCUGCCUACACCCCUUGGUUAAUCCAAGACCAGCAGAUUGUAGCCUAUCUGCUGAGAAACCUCUCCAAAGAAAUCCUUGUGCAAGUCGCCUCGAUGGAUACAUCUCGUGCGAUCUGGACAGCACUCUCCACCAUGUUUGCC
rnacentral:rRNA from 1 species